AACCUCCGCAAUGUACGAAAGUGCGACGGGGGGAUCCCAAGUGUUAUGCUUAAAGGUAUGACUUUUCAUUAGUGUAAAAAGCUUUUAGAAUAAGAGCUGGGCAAGACCGGUGCCAGCCGCCGCGGUAACACCGGCAGCUCGAGUGGUAGCUGUUUUUAUUGGGCCUAAAGCGUUCGUAGCCGGUUUAAUAAGUCUUUGGUGAAAGCUUGUAGCUUAACUAUAAGAAUUGCUGGAGAUACUAUUGGACUUGAAGUCGGGAGAGGUUAGAGGUACUACCGGGGUAGGGGUGAAAUCCUAUAAUCCUGGGAGGACCACCUGUGGCGAAGGCGUCUAACUGGAACGAUCUUGACGGUGAGUAACGAAAGCCAGGGGCGCGAACCGGAUUAGAUACCCGGGUAGUCCUGGCCGUAAACGAUGUGGACUUGGUGUUGGAAUGGCUUUGAGUUGUUCCGGUGCCGAAGGGAAGCUGUUAAGUCCACCGCCUGGGAAGUACGGUCGCAAGAUUGAAACUUAAAGGAAUU
rnacentral:rRNA from 1 species